GGAUUCACAAAAAUGUUUGCACCAAGUUUUCUUGAGUUAUUGAAUUGAGAUCAUUGACUAAUUUAUAGUACAAAACUUUUGAUGCUAUUAAUGGAAGUUUAUUAUUAUUAAAUUUUAGUUAUCUAUUAAUAACCACAUCUUAUAUAUAUAUAUAUAUAUAUAUAUAUAUAUAUAUUUCUCUGAGUCAACUAUAUCUAAUUAACCAUGGAAACCAAAAAUGGUAACUGCUGUUGAAUGUAACAACAGAUGUCGAAUGUAACCAGCAGAUGUUGAUUGUAAGUUUGUAACUAACAAAUCCCUUAUAUAUGUUAAUUGAGAAGCAUUACAACAUUUUUUUGUAUCCACGUGUCAUCACUAGAAUGAUUUUUAAAAUCCUUAGAAAAAUAGGUUUGUCAAAUUAAAUAUAUAAUAAUGUUUUUAUUAAACUAAGCAUAAAUUGAUUAUUAAUGUUUUUUAUUAUUUCCUUAAAAAAAAGUUACAGAAUUGUCUAAUGUGUCUAAAAUAUACUCCCUCCGUUCCUUAAAGAUACAUAUUCUAGAGAAAAAAAUUGUUUCAAAAAGAUCCAUUUUUUUCAUUUUUAAUGCAUGUUUUAUUAAUUAAUUGCAAACUUCAAAAAACUUAAUUGCACUAAUUGAUUUUUUAUUGGCUUAAAAUUAUAGAAAAAAAAGAUAAACACAAAAAAUUAUGCAAAUUUAAUGUGUUUUAUUAAAAUGUGUGAAAAACUAGAAUAUGGAUCUUUUAGGAACAUAGGGAGUAUAUGAUAAUUACUUAUUUUGAAUAAUAAAUAUUUGAUAAAAAUUAAUGUAUAUUCUAUCAUAUUUGUUUAAUUUUAAACUACUAAAAUCAAUUAAACAACCACAUUAACCAUAUAAUAAAAAUUUAGAUUUUUCUGCAUAUGUUAUAUUUUGAAUUUUCAAAAUCGACCAUAAAUUACUAAUACUGUUAAAGUCUUACAUUCAAAUUUUGUGAUCCAUAAUUUAAAUUGUUAUAAUAAAUAAAAAUGAUUACAAAAUCAUAUAAGUAGAAAGUAUCAUUUAAUAAUUAUUAAAAUUAAGGAUAUAUAUAUAUAUAUCAUUUUAAAUUAAACUAUAUACCAUAUAAAAUACAUAAAUAUUUUAAUUUCAAAAUUUACUUUGAACAAAAUUUUCUUGAUAAAAUCUUUCGGCGAACAUCAACAACUUAAUAUUUCAAUAAUAUAUAAAUUACUAAAACUAUUAUUCCCACAAUGAAAAUUUUGUUAUCAGUAAUUUAAAAUUUUUGCUAUAAAAAAUACACAUGAUCAAAAAAAUCAUAUGAGUAGAAACCAUCAUUUAAUAGACAUUAAUAUUAAAUAUCUACUAUAUAUAUGUUAAUAUUAUUUAAAUUUAAUUAUAUAUUCUAUCAAAUAGAAAAAAAAAUAUUGUUUGGAUUAAUAAAGUUUUAUUUAUAUGUUCGCAUCAAUUUAAUUAUAUAUGUAAUAAUUACUGAUUUUUUAAUUAUUUAAUAUAUAUUUAUUAUUUAAUAAUAUGUAAAAACAUAUAAUAAAUAAAAUAAUUUUAUAUAUAAUGUUCAUUCUGCGCAGGCGCGGGUAUAUAACCUUCAGGAACAGAGGGCACAAGUUCAAGUUGUGGAGUCAAAAAGAAACAUCUUCUUCUACACAUAUCUAUUUAGUAUUGUGAUGCAACAUGUCUUCCUCUUGUUUGCUUGCCGGCAGGAACGAGGCUGUGAUCGAAGAAAGAGAGCAAGGGAUUCAAGAAAUACAUAAUCAGAUUGGAGAGAUUAACGAAAUAUUCAAAGAUCUUGCGGUUCUUGUUAAAGACCAAGGAGUCAUGAUAGGUGAACAAAAUCUAUAAGAGCAUGGCCACAGUUCUACAGUUGCGGAGCUCACUUUAUUUGUUUAAAUUGGCAGAAGAUAUUGGUACUCACAUUGACAACUCUCGAGCUGAAACUGCUCAAGGAAGAUCUCAGCUCGCACAAGCCUCAAACACACACAAAGAUCAAACUCAUCUCUGACAUGCUUGCUCUUGGUGAUAUUUGGCAUUUUACUCCUGAUCGUGAUUAUUGUUCUCGCAGCUUGAUGUUGGAAAAGCAAGAACAAGUUUUUUGGAAUGUUUUCAUCGAUCGUAAAAGCAUCAACGAGUAUGUAAUAGACUGGGUGGUGUGGUUUUUUUUAUUUGUUGGAGAUAAGCGUCUUGCUUGUAUUUCUCCUAAAUUCUGAUAAACCGGAACUCUGGAAGUAUCAUGGAAGAGAUUGGUUUUGCACCGGUUCAAACUUGCCAAAAAAAAAAGUGAUUGAGAUUGAGAGAAGCGUGUUGCUGCAGUCACAAGGAAGUCCAAAAGCUAAUUUAUCAAGACUGCUUCGGGUUCUUGCAAGCUUAUUGGAGAGAAGAUCCCACAUCGGAUAUAUGAAAGAGACUUGAGUAAUAUAUAAGGGACUUGGGUCAAUCCACUAAUUGCCAAUUGGUUUUAAGUUGGAAGCCCAGGAAACUUAUCAUGGUAUCAGAGCCAGCCCAAUACCCUGACCCAUUAAUCCGGCCCGGACAGUGGCCCGAUCAUCUCAUUAGCUGAUGGCCCAUAGAAGGCUCAGUUCCACCGAGAUCGCUAGAAAAAAAAAGCAUGAUUUCAGAGGGGGUAUGAUGGAUUCUGCGAGAUUAAUGGUUAUACGCACCAUUAUCUCGAGGGAAGAUAUUGGAGAGAAGAUCCCACAUCGGAUAUAUGAAAAGGACUUGAGUAAUAUAUAAGGGACUUGGGUCAAUCCACUAAUUGCCAAUUGGUUUUAAGUUGGAAGCCCAGGAAACUUAUCAAAGCUUCAACCUCGUGCAACAAGAAUUGAAAACGCAAACAUACUCUGUAUGAUUCCUGAUUCCGGCAGCGACAUCCAAGACGAGGGAUCUAGUUUAGGUCUUGGAUCCACUCUCUUGAAGAGGCUGUAUAGAUAAGCUGAGGAACAAUCUUAACGAUAUGAACCUAAACAAGAUAUCGAGAUAAUUGACUUGAUGCCGUGCAUGUAAAGGAAUCUUAAACUGAUUUCAUCAUUUUCAUAAUCUCUAGAAUUGAUUUCUGUUGGGAUUGUGUGAGCCUAUGUCCAACUCUAUCUUAUCUUAUUAGUACUAUAUUGUCCACUUUGGGCUUUAGGCAAGCUCAUGGAUUUAGUUUUGGUUUCUUUUCCAAAAGGCCUCGUACAUUAGAGAUGGACAUCUCUUUAUAUAUUAGAUUUUCCUUUGUCUAAUAUCUGAUACGGGACUUAACUUGUUAUCUCACAUUCUCCUCUUCAAGCUAAGGAUCACAUCCAUCUCGUGUGUUUCCUUCGGCGAAUCAUUUUUGGCACCACUUUGUACCGGUAAUCGUAUGGCUUCCUUUGAGAAUGUUCUUUCUCCGACAACAUCACAGAUUCCAUGAUCUUCUGACUAAUAUCUGCCAAACCUCAUUUUUCUUCCUUAAAGGAUCAUGUUCUUACUUAAGGGUAUUUUGGUCUUCUUGCAGAUCUUCGUCAACCGUUCUGAUACCAAUUGUUGGGAUUGUGUGAGCUCAUGUCUAACUCUAACUUAUCUUAUCAGUGCGAUAUUGUCCAUUUUGGGCCUUAGGCAAAUCCGCAUGGAUUUACUUUUGAUUUUCUUCCCAAAAGGCCUCGUACAUUAGAGUUGGACAUCUCUUUAUAUAUUAGAUUUUUCUUUGUCUAAUAUCCGAUGUGGGACUUAACUUGUUAUCUCACAAUUUCGACAUGAAUCUCAAUGACCGACCUGUUUGAACUGAAACUGUAUUAGUGAUGGACCUAAUUCACACCUAAAAACUAGCUCUACAUAGAUAGUAAACCACCAUGGGCUAUGAUACCAUAUUAGUAAUGGACCUGACUCACACCCAAAAGCUACCUCAAUGAAUGGAGGAUUGCCACAUCACAUAUAUAUUGUCCAAGGAUGUUAAUAAUCUGAAAGCUAAAGAAUCUUUUUCAAUGAUCGGACCUGAUGAUUUCAUCAGAAUCUCUAACCUGAUGAGAUGAGAUGAGAUAGAGCUCCAGCAGUAUGUGGCGGAGAAGGUGAAGAUCACGGCUAUGAUCGAUCUCCGGCCACCGUAUUCCGGUGUUUGCUACCCAUCGAUUUGAAUUUCAUAACUCUAGUUCAAGCGCUACACAGAGACUAUUGCUUAUGCUUGCUCUAGUGAGGGUAAAGUCCGGCGAUCAAUUUGGAUAAGUUGCCGGUUGAACAAGCAUAUCUCGACCCGGUUUUGUUAAUUCGAAAUGGGCCGGUCUAGUCCAGUAAGGCCAGACGAUUUUUAAUCGUAAGGAAAUUAAAAUAAAACAUAACUUAUAUGAGUUGACCAUAUUAUUGGGUUAGUGGAAAGAACUUAUAAUUUAAAAAAAAAAUGAGAAAGAAAAAAAAACAUCUUUAUUUAUGGAAAAGCGAAAGCUAAAAAUCCCACGAAACCCAUGAAAAUUUGAAAAGAAAAGACAAAGAAAUCAAAUUUUACAAAAGAAGAAUCCAAUUAAGCUUUAGGACUUUGAAAUUGAAUUCUCUUCGUUAUAUAUAACAUAUAUAAUUAAUUUAAAUUUUAUUUUACUCUCUUAACAUCUAACCUUAUUCAUUUCAAUGCUUAAAAAAAGAACGAAAGAAAUUGAAAAGUUGAUGAAAUAUCAUGAAUAAUAUGUUUUGAACUUUUACUCGAUAAUAUUGUAUUCUCUUUUUCUCAUAAUCAUCGCUGACAUAAAAUUCGUGCCGUGCGAAGGCUAGUAAGGGGCCAAAGCAAAAAUAAUUUAUUUUAUAUCAAAUAUGCAUAUUAAUUUUUAUUAAUACGAACCAGAAAAUAAAUUGUUUUCUUAUCUUAUGAAAAUUAAUGGCAAAAGUUAUAUUUUGGUUACAACUGAAAAUUGUAUAUAGAAACUCAAACUAUAUGCAGGAAAAUGUUUCAACAUUCAAAAUAAAAAAUAUACAAUGAAAUUAAUAUUCACAACAACUAAGCAGAAAUUGUCAUAUUAUUGAAAAGUAUUAAGAAAUAAUUAUAGUUUUUAUCAUAUUAUCAUAUAUUGAUUAUAUGAUUUAUGAAUAUGGAAGCCCUAAAAUGUACUAAUGUGAGAGAGAGCCUGGGACCAAUGUCCCAAAAUUGAUAAAGUGAGCACGGCUCUCCAUAAGAUCUCUGUUUGGAAUUACUUGAAACAUUAGAGUUGAAUUACAAUGGUGGUCGUCAUACACUAUACGUACAUGUGUUCAUUGUAUGUCUACGACGUCUAAGAACAGAUAAAUAUUUUUUUUUUUUUUUUUUUUUUUUUUGACAGCAAGAAAAUUUACAGACUCAUAUAGACUCUGUAAACCAAUGUGGUAACUCCGCAUCCAUGUGUACGACGAAAGACGGUUGUGUCCGAGCACUACGUGCCAAGCGAUCCGCCUUUAUGUUUUCCGUCCUUGGAACAUGAACAAUCUCUGAGUUGGUAAAGCUUCUUCUCAAAAACUUAAUGUCAUCAAGAACAGAUAAAUAUUUCUAUGUCAUUAUGCGAACUCCAGGGUUAAAAACAGCAAAACGUGAACGUUCCUUUAGUCUUCUAUUUUGCUUUUCACGUUUCAUUUUACAACUUCCAAAGAUACACAUUACUUUCACUUGUAAACGUUAAUUAAUACAAACGAUCCUUUUUUUGUUACUUUUGAUAUUUUGCUACAAAUAAAAGUAAUUAAUAAAAACAUUACUUUUACAACUUCCCAGACGCACAUACAAAAUAUCAAAAAAUAGUUUAAACUAUUUAAAAUUUUCUGUAACAAAGUAAGAGUUAUGACAUCUAAAAAAAUUAAGAUAUAAAAUUCAUAAAUAUUUAAAUGUCUAAUGUGAACUAAUUUUGGUUCUCUCUACCAUCAUGCACUUCAUUUUUUUUCAGUGGCAUAGUGAAAUCUUCAUCAAAAUCUAAAAAUCAUAAAUAUAUAAUUGAAAAGGAAAAAUCUAACUUUUUUUUUGUCAGCACCUAACUUCUUAAUUGGAAACUUAGAAUAUAAAACAUAAUCUAAAUUUUUUGUUUUAAAGUUAUUUAUAGGUUGAAUCAGGUUCUGGGUUUUACUGGAUUUUUGUGGGUUUCUAAAUAUUAGGUUUUUCGCAAAAUCUAAACCAAAUUUUUUCUGGAUCACUGGGUUUACCGGUUCAACCGCAGAUCUGGGUCGAGUUUCAAAACACUGGCUGAAACACAUACUAUCUAACAAAAAACAAAACAAUAAACAAAGCAAGACCUAAUGCGGUAUCAUUCCGAAUGGUAACUGCGAUUUGAGCGGUACGGGAGAAGCGGUUUAACUGCAGUGCGGUUUUAACAGUUAUAAAAACAUAUAGAUAUAUGGUAUAUGUAGAGAUUUUUAUUAGUGUUAACUGCGGUGCGGGGUGGAGUGGUUCGUAACAUUUGAAGCCUGAAUUGUCCAAUGCUAAAGUUUUGGAUUAUAAUGAAAACGUAGGUCCUUUGUGGUGAUGAAGAUGAUUGAUUGAUAUAUGGCCCAGUCACUCUUUCUUUUUCUGACAUUUCCUUUAUAAUAUGAAAAUCUUUAUUAAGUUCUCCUACAAAACAUUUAACUAUUUAAAAGUAACCCAGUAGAUUUGCAUGCUGUGUAUCUCUACACUUUUAAUAACAAGAAUAACCCAUAUUUUGAUUUAAAAUAUACUAAUAUGUACUUGUUGGAGUUUAAGAAAACUUCUAAUGUUUUAAAAUUUCAAUUAGGAUCAGAUACAUUUCCAUUAACUUUCUCUCUUUCGUUGUGCUAUGAAACGGUAAUCUUUUCAUGAUUUAAUAUUAAAUUCUCAAUUGAUAACAAAUUGUGAAAAGAGAAGCUUUAAAGAAAAAAACCUUUAAGGAAAGUGAAUUAAUGGUCCUCUUUCAAUUAUUUUAUUCCCCCGAUUAGUACUAAAUUAAUAAAAAAUGAAACCCAAUUUUGGUCAUGAUUUGCUUUAUUUUAAAUUUGUCAAUAGCAUAAUUAGCCCUGAAGUUUUUUCCUCCUUUAUAUAUUUGUGCCCAAAAUUCCUCUUCGACCAAAUAUCUUCAGUACAUCUCUCUAGUUUCUUUUCUCUUCCCAACAGUAAUAAACAAAGAUGCUUAUUCGAUUUAAGAAAAGCUCAAAAAUAAAGAUGGUGUCCAACGUUCAUGCGUAGACGUUUUAGUAUGCAACUACUAUAUACAUAUAUAUAUUGAUGUGUCAUCAUGCCUGGCUCCCUGUAUGCCACAAGUGGGUAUCGAUUUUGUUAAAAAAUUGGCUGCUGGUGGCGUACGAGGAGCCAAGCAUGACCAGAAGAAGCAAAUAAUACUCAUAUAUGGCAUAUAUAAAUAUCAUAUAUCAGCAUCUAUAAUAUAUGGUUUUGUUUUAUUUGGAUUUCUGCUUUUUAGUUUACUUUGGAUUUUGAUAGGAAAUGAAACAACGUUUUAUAGUCUGAUGAUUUAUAGUUUACGUUUGGAUUUGGUUUUCAGUCAUCAAUCAUUAGUUUUUAAGAAAUUUUGUUUGUUUUUGUUUUCCUAUUUGUUUUACUUUGUCCAAGGUUCAUUACACUAUAUUUAACUGAUUAAGAUUCGGUACAAUACUGAAUCGAAUUGUGUUGAGGUCUAUAUAAAAAUCAGUUUGAUUUGUUUUUUGUGCACAUAUUUAUUUAUACUUUCGUUAUUUUCGCGCGGGUCAAAAUUUAGUUUUCUUAUUAAUUUAAAAUUUAUAUUAGGUUAAGAUAGUAGUAGUUAAGAUUUUUUUUUUCAAUUAAAAAAAGAUAGUAGUUAAUAACCAUUGCUUAUAUUGAGAUAUAUGGGUAUUAUCAGUGGCGAAGCCAGAAAUUUUUUAUACCGGGAUCGGAUAAAAAAAUCGAAAACAUAAUUUAUCAACCACAAAAAACUUCAAAUGUACCCUAGGCGCACUCUUUUUUUUUUUGAAUGUAAGAAUUUAUUCAAACAACAAAAAACGUUUGUACAGUGACGGGUCCAUUGUUUAGAGCGUUCUAUGUUUUUAGAGUUAAAAAAAAAACAUAGCAACAAUGAAUAAAAACAUAGUUCAAUCUCUAUUUCUAAAAUCUUCUCAAACCGAACUACACUACUAUAACAUUUUCAUUCUACGCACACUCAUAGCUUGAAAUAUUUUUAUAACAGUUUUAUUGGCUUAAAAAAUAUAGAAAACCAACCUAAACUUUAACUAAAAUAUAGUUAUAGAGCACAAGUUGUGAGUCCGCCAUCGUCUUGUGUUUCCAAGGAAGAAGAAUAAAUUUUAUUUUUUAAAGUUUACUUAUUUUUAAUGUUUUUGUAUUGUAAAUUAGUUGCACUUAAAACAAUUGGGGUUUAAACUAACAUAUUACUAAAGAUUAAAAGUAAUAAAAUGUGUUUAGAGAUUUAAUAUUUUUGGGUAAUUAUAGGAAAAUGAGGUUAAAACUAAUAUAAAUCCAAAAUUUUAAAGAUAAAAGUAUAACUAUUUAGUUUUAUAAUUAAAAUUUAUCUUUAAUGUUUAGUAAUUAUUUUUGUGGGGUCAAAAUUAUUUUUUUAGUGGAAUUAAGACAAUGUUUGCUUAAAACAAAACAACUUUUUUAAGUAGUAGGAUCAGCUGACCUUCCCUUAAGCUGCAUCCGGCCCUAGGUAUUAUACAAUACUUAUGGAAUAAGGCUGUAAUUAUUCAUUAAUAUUUUCAAGUGUUGUAAUUUGUAUAUGUAGUCGAGAUGUGGCUUUGUAAAAGGCAAGAAAAAAAUAUAGAAAAGUUUUAGAUUUUUUUUAAUAAAUCAGCAUGUCUGUUUUCUGUAGUUUUACCGUAAAAUUCUUCUAUUUUUGAUUUUUAUCAUUUAUUUUUUGACGAUGAUGUUUUUCUCUGACUAUUAUUAUUUGAACAUUUUAGAAUGCGCCUAACUUGUAUUAUUUAUUUUGAAAAUUAUUUUUCGCGGUCAAAAGUCUUGUAGAAGAAAAAAAGUUUAAGAGGGUGAUAGAGUAAUCAUAUUCAUAUCAAUCAGUCGUAAUAUAGUGUCGAUUUCAUAUUUUAAUUCUGGAAACAAAAAUUCAGAACAUAGGCGCCAAUUACGUUUUGCAAAGUGCCAAAGGCCUCCAAUCACGGAUCAUAAGCAAUUUUUAGUGAACAUGAUUUAUUCUUUCUUUUUUUGAAAGCUAACAUGAUUUAUUCUUUCUUUUAUUGAAGGUAUAACAUGAUUAUUCUUAAAUGGAAUCAAAAGAAUAGAUCGUGUCACUUGUUGAUUAAGUAAAGUUUUUUUGUAUUAUGUGAUAAUUAAACCAUAGUAUGUAGUAAUUGACAGAGAUAAAUGAGAAUGUUUAUCUUAUCGAAAAUAUUUUCUUUUUUCUUUUUAUUCAAUUUUAUCUUCUUUCGGUUUCUUGGUGUUACUGUUUUUUGUUGUCGAAAAAGUUGAAGAAAAAAUUAAAGAGAAAAACUAACAAAUGAAUUACACAGGAAAGAAAUCGUUUGACCUACAUGAUUUAUUUUUUUUCAUUUAAUUACUAUGUAAUAUAGUUUAACUACCACAUAAUACAAAAAAAAAUUAUUUAAUCAACACGUGACAGACAAUUUAUUUUCGGUAUUAUUUGACUAGUGAAAAUUAAGUAAAUUUAUUUUAUUAAAUUUAAGUACUCUUUCUUGGACCUACACUAUAAAACUUCUCUUUUUUUUUUGUCAUUGAAUAAAUUCCUCGAAGGAAACUCAACCAAGGGGUUGAGGUUAAAACAAACCAAAGUAAUCGAGUCCAAAUAAAAUGCAAAUAAACCCAAAGACACCAGUAGGCGCCAUGAAACAAGAUAAAACUCAAAGGGAAGAAAGGAGAAAGACAUCUUCCUGCUCAGAGGUCUGAGAUACAUGAUAGCGAACAUCAGACAACCGCCAUAGCUUCACUUCUAAUGCGAGACUCCAGCCAACCCGGACCAUUCGCAGACAUGUAAGACUGAUGGUGCUGAAUAUGUAAAGCACUUUCUGCGAUUGCAGAGGCAAUAAGGUUCCCAUUUGGAGAUGUUAACACUAACUUGCAAACCUCCAAUUGUCCAAUAGAUCUAUUGAAGCUUCUCCAGUGGGGUUGAAGCGAUUGUGGUAAGUUAGAAAUCGAUAAUGUCCCUGGGGACAUAGAAGAAGAGAACUCCAAGAUUACUCUAUUUAGGUGUAGAUCUCUCAUUGCCUCCACUGCCCAUACCAAAGCCACUAGAUCAGCUUCCAGUUGUGAACGUAUACCAACACAGGAUCGUCUACUAUGAAAAAGGGCUUUCCCAUGAGAGUCUCUUACGAUCCACUCCAUCCCCCCCGUGACCAUUACUUGAAGACCACGCCGACCCUACAUUACAUUUGACUACACCUACAGCAGGUUUUGUCCACAGAUUUGAGAUCGUUUCAUCACACGCAAUCUCGGUCGCGACAUUUGGAAUAAAGGAGUUCAGUCGAAGCCAUACUGCUGCUUCCUCCAAAGCCUUAUCUAUGGUAAUGGCAGGUUCAAUCCUUCUGUUCUCAAAACAGAACAGAUUCCUGUUCUUCCAUAUAUACCAAAGCACCCAAGGGAAGGCUAAACGGAGCUUAGGGUCCAAAGAAUUCUUCUUACUGCAAGAGAAGAGGUAGUGUAUAUUCAAAAAGACCGAGGAGCGUGAAAAACCUGCCAAAGGGAGAGGAAAUGAAGAUCUGUUCCAUACUUCUUUCGCCAUUGGACAAUGGAAAAGCAUAUGACAAAUCGAUUCUUGCUCUUGGCGGCAGAGAGGACAUACUGGAUCUGUUUGAAUGCCCCUAUAAAACUUCUCUUAGAGCAACAUUAUCAGUAUCCUUAACACUGUCCUUAACCUCUAAUUAUUACUUUUUAAAACAAAAGUGAGUUAGAGACGAAGCUUUCGUUUGUUAAUUAGUAGACGUUUAAUGCCCGUUCUUAAGGACACGCGUCGCAACCCGAGAGGAAGACCGAAUCGGGAGAGUUACAACGCGUGAAGUAUCGACUUCAUUUUCUUCGCCUAUCUUCUCUCCUUCUCUGGUGAUGGCGAUUGCAGAAGACGACACCGACCUCGACACCGCGUUCUCCGAUCUCGGUUACAAUCGCCACCUCUCUGCGUAUCGCAUCUCUUCUCCCUCACUUCUCUGAUCUAUCCGCCGAAUCGCGAUCUCCUUCUCUCAAUCGAAUCGAUUGUAAACAAGGUAAGCUCACUCCUCUGUACCUCGUUGUGAAAUUCGAUUGUUUAUUUUAGUUAUUAAAAUAAACAAUCAAAAUUUUCUAAGGACUCAUAAAAGUCCUUACCAAUAAUCAACAAAAAUUCAAAAGUCCUUAACUUUGUCCUUAAACCCUAAAGUAAUCAAUAAUAAUGCUAAGGACUUGUCCCUCCUAUAAUGAUGCUCUUACGAUUAUAUAUGUUAUUGGACCUCGUUUGUAAAACGGUCAAACCUUGUAAUUCAGCCAAUUGGGCUAGUUUCAAUAGAAACACCGUUGACAAAAAAAAUUAGAUUUUUAAGGCCAAUUUUCAAUGCUCCAUAACUAACUCAUAUUGGCCCGUUAAAUUGUCUACAAGUUUCAUCUUUCCUUUACGCCGCUUAACUUUGACGGAAAAGGUCUAUUUCAAAGACUUUACGCAUCGUGUUUUUUUCUUCACAAAUAGUGCGUUUUUUUAUCAUGAACACUCAAAAAAUUCAAAAAUCCUAUAUAUAUAUUGACUGUGAAAGAUGUUAGUCAACCGUUAAUUUAUCAACACGAUGUCGUUUUGGAUAAAUCUAAUUUAUCAAUCCCUUUACCACUAGGCCAAUUCAACGUUGGUUUUUAAUGUGGAUUUUGCGAGUGCGUACUUGAGCAACGUCUGUGUUGUGAAAGAGCUGCAUCGUAAUGGAAUUGGUUACAAACUCAUUAAAAAGUCUAAUGGAGUUGCUAGAGAAUGCGGUAAGAAAUGUUCUGAUCAAAACCCAUCAUACUCUCUAAAUUGGACUUAAAAGAGAGUUCUGAUAUGGCGCUCAGGGAUAACGGAUAUGUACGUGCAUGUGGCGGUGGACAAUGAAAAGCAGCGAAGAGGCUAUACAUGAAAAGUGGGUUCGAGCAAGAGAGCGCAAGAACGACUCUCAAAACUAUCAUGUGGUGUUGCAGUCUUCAAGGUUGAUGUGAUUUUUAUUGUAGGCGUGGUCAUCUCUUUGAUUAUGCCACCGGUGAGUAAUUGAAACAUGGAACAAGUACGUCAUGUUUUACAAUCUUUUUAUAGGUUUCUUUGGUUUGAUCUGCUGAACAAUUGAAUCAUGGAACAGAGCUGAGAAGAGAUGUCUGUUUAAAAUUUCUAAUUAUAAAUUUGUAUUUUUAUUUUUAAUAUGUUUUAUGUCAUAUUUGUUCAAAUGUUAUGAAAUCUAAUUAUUUAUAAGUUUUGUAAGCUUUAAAUUUAA